GAUGAACGCUGGCGGCGUGCCUAAUACAUGCCAGUCGAGCGAACAGACGAGGAGCUUGCUCCUUCGACGUUAGCGGCGGACGGGUGAGUAACACGUAGGUAACCUACCUAUAAGACUGGGAUAACUUCGGGAAACCGGAGCUAAUACCGGAUAAUAUUUCGAACCGCAUGGUUCGAUAGUGAAAGAUGGCUUUGCUAUCACUUAUAGAUGGACCUGCGCCGUAUUAGCUAGUUGGUAAGGUAACGGCUUACCAAGGCAACGAUACGUAGCCGACCUGAGAGGGUGAUCGGCCACACGGGAACUGAGACACGGUCCAGACUCCUACGGGAGGCAGCAGGAGGGAAUCUUCCGCAAUGGGCGAAAGCCUGACGGAGCAACGCCGCGGGAGUGAAGAAGGUCUUCGGAUCGUAAAACUCUGUUAUUAGGGAAAAACAAACGUGUAAGUAACUGUGCACGUCUUGACGGUACCUAAUCAGAAAGCCACGGCUAACUACGU
rnacentral:rRNA from 1 species